rnacentral:pre_miRNA from 1 species
UCCUUGAACUACUAUAGCAGCGCAUCAUGGUUUUCAACAUAGUGGAAAAGGUGCAAACCAUAAUUUGCUGCUUUAGAGUUUUAAAGG